rnacentral:rRNA from 1 species
GUGGGGAAUAUUGCGCAAUGGGGGGAACCCUGACGCAGCAACGCCGCGUGCAGGAAGAAGGUCUUCGGAUUGUAAACUGUUGUCGCAGGGGAAGAAGAAAGUGACGGUACCCUGUGAGANAGUCACGGCUAACUACGUGCCAGCAGCCGCGGUAAUACGUAGGUGACAAGCGUUGUCCGGAUUUACUGGGUGUAAAGGGCGCGUAGGCGGGAUAGCAAGUCAGCCGUGAAAUGCCGAGGCUUAACCUCGGAGCUGCGGUUGAAACUGUUAUUCUUGAGUAUCGGAGAGGAAAGCGGAAUUCCUAGUGUAGCGGUGAAAUGCGUAGAUAUUAGGAGGAACACCAGUGGCGAAGGCGGCUUUCUGGACGACAACUGACGCUGAGGCGCGAAAGUGUGGGGAGCAAACAGG